GGGGAAAAAAUUGUCUAAAAACGAAUUUUUAAAAUCCUAUAAAUAUCUGAAGGAAAGUUAAAUUCAAUCAAUUUUAUGCCUCAAAAUAAUGAACCUACAGACUUUUUUACCGGACCUUAUUAUAAUUGAAAACCCCAAACACUCUUUAGCACAAAACAACCUCAAUUUUUAGCGAAUUUUAAAUGUUCAAAUUACGACAGUGAGAUAAUUUUUUGGUCUUUUGAAGGCAUUUUUAUCAGUUUUGUACUAAAAGUAUGUGGAAUGUCAACCAAUUAAUUGUUAUGGAAGAAGAAAACUUAAAAAAGAACAAUAAAAUGAAACAAUCUCAUAUUAUAAAAGACAGUCAGGAAACGGAGACAAGUUUGGCAAAUGUAUUCUAAUUUAAAAGACUACAUGGAGACAUGGAAACUUUUUACUGGAAAACUUUUUACCAAAGCGAAACUAAUGGAAAACUAUUUAAGAUCAACAAUGCCAGGAAGGGGCAGGAAAAACUUUACGAAUCAGGAGUUUUUACGGAAUUUGCAGCAAGAAAAGUUGGCAAUUGAAAAAUUAAACAUUUUCAACAAGAGGCAAUCUUCCCCGGACAUUGCUUGAAACUGGCGAGUUUUCGUGCUUGCAAAACGUCAAGAAAAAAUUCCAGUCUACGACGACCUAAAAACUCGAAAAACUGAUCAGUUUUAGAAUU